UGUUUAGUGCCUGAUUUAAAAGGAUAAUUUUGAUAGAAUUAAUUAUGCAUAUUUAUGCCUUUACAA
rnacentral:tRNA from 1 species